rnacentral:rRNA from 1 species
GACAGAGGGUGCAAACGUUGCUCGGAAUCACUGGGCGUAAAGGGCGUGUAGGCGGGACGGUAAGUCGGGCGUGAAAUCCCUAGGCUCAACCUAGGAACUGCACUCGAAACUACCAUUCUUGAGUGUCGGAGAGGAAAGCGGAACUCCUGGUGUAGCGGUGAAAUGCGUUGAUAUCAGGAGGAACACCCAUGGCGAAGGCAGCAAACUGGUCAUCAACUGACGCUGAGGCGCGAAAGCGUGGGUAGCAAACAGG